rnacentral:rRNA from 1 species
UACAGAGGUCCCAAGCGUUGUUCGGAUUUAUUGGGCGUAAAGGGUGUGUAGGUGGCGCCGUAAGUCGGGUGUGAAAUCUCGGGGCUUAACUCCGAAACUGCAUUCGAUACUGCGGUGCUUGAGGACUGGAGAGGAGACUGGAAUUCAUGGUGUAGCAGUGAAAUGCGUAGAGAUCAUGAGGAAGACCAGUGGCGAAGGCGGGUCUCUGGACAGUUCCUGACACUGAGACACGAAGGCCAGGGGAGCAAACGGG